AGUGAACGCUGGCGGUAGGCCUAACACAUGCAAGUCGAACGGCAGCACAGUAAGAGCUUGCUCUUACGGGUGGCGAGUGGCGGACGGGUGAGGAAUACAUCGGAAUCUACUUUUUCGGGGGGGAUAACGAAGGGAAACUUACGCUAAUACCGCAUACGAUCUACGGGGGAAAGUAGGGGAUCUUCGGACCUUGCGCGAUUGAAUGAGCCGAUGUCGGAUUAGCUAGUUGGCGGGGUAAAGGCCAACCAAGUCGACGAUCCGUAGCUGGACUGAGAGGAUGAUCGGCGGCACUGGAGCUGGGCCACGGUCCAGACUCCUGCGGGAGGCAGCAGUGUCGUAUAUUGGACAAUAGGCGCAAGCCUGAUCCAGCCAUACUGCGUGUGUUAAGAAGGCCUUCGGGUUGUAAAGACCUUUUGUUGGGAAAGAAAAGCAGCAGGUUAAUACCCCGCUGUUCUGACGGUACCCAAAGAAUAAGCACCGGCUAACUUCGUG
rnacentral:rRNA from 1 species